CCUACGGGAGGCAGCAGUGAGGAAUAUUGGUCAAUGGACGAGAGUCUGAACCAGCCAAGUAGCGUGAAGGAUGACUGCCCUAUGGGUUGUAAACUUCUUUUAUAUGGGAAUAAAACGUUCCACGUGUGGGAUUUUGUAUGUACCAUAUGAAUAAGGAUCGGCUAACUCCGUGCCAGCAGCCGCGGUAAUACGGAGGAUCCGAGCGUUAUCCGGAUUUAUUGGGUUUAAAGGGAGCGUAGGUGGAUUGUUAAGUCAGUUGUGAAAGUUUGCGGCUCAACCGUAACAUUGCAGUUGAAACUGGCAGUCUUGAGUACAGUAGAGGUGGGCGGAAUUCGUGGUGUAGCGGUGAAAUGCUUAGAUAUCACGAAGAACUCCGAUUGCGAAGGCAGUUCACUGGACUGCAACUGACACUGAGGCUCGAAAGUGUGGGUAUCAAACAGGAUUAGAUACCCGUGUAGUC
rnacentral:rRNA from 1 species